rnacentral:rRNA from 1 species
UACGGAGGGAGCUAGCGUUGUUCGGAAUUCCUGGGCGUAAAGCGCACGUAGGCGGCUUUGUAAGUUAGAGGUGAAAGCCCGGGGCUCAACUCCGGAACUGCCUUUAAGACUGCAUCGCUUGAAUCCAGGAGAGGUGAGUGGAAUUCCGAGUGUAGAGGUGAAAUUCGUAGAUAUUCGGAAGAACACCAGUGGCGAAGGCGGCUCACUGGACAGUUCCUGACGCUGAGGCACGAAAGCGUGGGGAGCAAACAGG